rnacentral:rRNA from 1 species
GAUGAACGCUGGCGGCGUGCUUAACACAUGCAAGUCGAACGGAAAGGCCCUGCUUGCAGGGUACUCGAGUGGCGAACGGGUGAGUAACACGUGGGUGAUCUGCCCUGUACUUUGGGAUAAGCCUGGGAAACUGGGUCUAAUACCGAAUAUGACAAUUGUUUGGAUGCGAUUGUGGAAAGCUUUUGCGGUAUGGGAUGAGCUCGCGGCCUAUCAGCUUGUUGGUGGGGUAAUGGCCUACCAAGGCGUCGACGGGUAGCCGGCCUGAGAGGGUGUACGGCCACAUUGGGACUGAGAUACGGCCCAGACUCCUACGGGAGGCAGCAGUGGGGAAUAUUGCACAAUGGGCGCAAGCCUGAUGCAGCGACGCCGCGUGGGGGAUGACGGCCCUCGGGUUGUAAACUCCUUUCGCAACCGACGAAGCCUUUUGGUGACGGUAGGUUGAGAAGAAGCACCGGCUAACUACGUG